rnacentral:rRNA from 1 species
UACGGAGGGUGCAAGCGUUGCUCGGAAUUAUUGGGCGUAAAGGGUAGGUAGGUGGUCUCAUUUGUCUGGGGUGAAAGCCGUUGGGCCUUAACUCAAGAAGUGCCCCAGAAACGGUGAGACUGGAGUCUGUGAGAGGUUCGUGGAAUUCCCGGUGUAAGCGGUGAAAUGCGUAGAGAUCGGGAGGAACACCAGAGGCGAAAGCGGCGAACUGGAACAGCACUGACACUCAACUACGAAAGCGUGGGGAGCAAAACGG